GAUGAACGCUAGCUACAGGCUUAACACAUGCAAGUCGCGGGGCAGCAUGGGGGUUGCUUGCAAUCCCCGAUGGCGACCGGCGCACGGGUGAGUAACGCGUAUCCAACCUGCCCUUCACCACGGGAUAACCCGGCGAAAGUCGGACUAAUACCGUAUGUUGUCCAUUGACGGCAUCCGAUUUGGACGAAAGGUUUGGCGGUGAAGGAUGGGGAUGCGGCCGAUUAGCUGGACGGGGGGGUGCCGGCCCACCGUGGCGACGCUCGGGAGGGGUUCUGAGAGGAAGGUACCCCACAAUGGAACCGAGACACGGUCCAGACCCCUACGGGAGGCAGCAGUGAGGAAGAUUGGGCAAUGGGCGUAAGCCUGAACCAGCCAAGUAGCGUGCAGGAUGACGGCCCUAUGGGUUGUAAACUGCUUUUAAGCGGGGAUAAAGUGGCCCACGUGUGGGUUUUUGCAGGUACCGCAUGAAUAAGGACCGGCUAAGUCCGUG
rnacentral:rRNA from 1 species